UUUAUGGAAGUACUUACAAAGGCAUGUAAAAAUAGCAACUUAUGAUAAGAAGAAACUAGCAUCAGGUUUUUCUUGUGUCGCAUACUAAUAUUUGUUAUUAUUUUCCCCUUCACUUAGAAUUUUGAAAUGUAGGUGAAUGAAUGCUUGGAAAAAUAAAUGCACAAUUUAGUAUUAAAGAUGUGGACAGUAGGCAAUACAAUUUUGAUCCAGUUUGCUCCUAAUAACAUUUUAAUCUAUAUGACUAUUGACCUGAAUUAAUCCUUUUCAAAUAAUUUUUAAAAUUUAACUUCCAUCAAUUAGAAGGAAAAUAUUAUAGUGAUCCAUAUAUGAUGGCUUUUCCCACAAUUCCCACCUAAAUAUUUAACUUCAUGCAAAUUUUGGGCAAAAACACUACAAUCAUGUCUGAAUCUUCUUUGCCAAACCUGCUUUGUGUAUUUGUCUGUGGUUGGUCCUUGAUGUCAGUUCAUAUAAUAAAUUUGUCAUGCUGGGAAGGUGUUGGGUUUGAAUCUUCCUUGGCUAAGAUAUCUACUGCAUAAAAUAUCUUUUUGGUAGAUAUAAAUAUAUUUUGCUUGUACAAAAUUCUAAUGAAAAAUUUUUGUUUUACCAACAUAAUUCGGGAAACUUUGGGGUCAGGUAUGUAUUUCAAAUUUUCGUAGCCAAAAACUUAAAUACUAUAUUACUUGGAACUUGUUUGGUUCAAUUCCAAAACACAAAAUUUGGUGGAAUUCAAUCAAAUUUUAUAUUUUGUGUGUUUGGUUUGAAAAAAGGAAUAGAAUUCAAUUCUAAGAAUUGGUUAUAAUUAAAACCAAUUCCUAUUAAAUUUGAUGGAAUUUGAAAUGAACCACAAAACUUGCAUAACAACAUUUUUUGGACUAAAAUACCCUUCUUAAAAAACUUUCUCCCAAUCAAACUCUAUUGGCUAAAAAGGAAGAUGGACACCACAAAUUAGCUUUUUAUCUAUUUACUAUUAAUAUGUUUAAACAACUAAAUGAGUGAUUUUAUAUUUGUCCUAAAUUUUUAAUAUUUAAGCUUAUUAUGCACUUAAUAAUGAUACUAUUUGAUUUGUUAUAUAAAUAUCUGUAUGUGAAUUUAUUAAAAGUAUAUUGUUAGUUGAGUUUAUGUGUUUGUUAAUUGUUAUAAAUUUAUUAGGU
rnacentral:misc_RNA from 1 species